AUCUUUCUAGUAUAAAUUAAUACGAGUGACUUCCAAUCACACGAUCCUGGUUCAAAUCCGAGGAAAGAUA
rnacentral:tRNA from 1 species